AUUGAACGCUGGCGGUAUGCUUUACACAUGCAAGUCGAACGGCAGCGCGGGAGCUUGCUCCUGGCGGCGAGUGGCGAACGGGUGAGUAAUACAUCGGAACGUACCCAGAAGUGGGGGAUAACGUAGCGAAAGUUACGCUAAUACCGCAUAUUCUGUGAGCAGGAAAGUGGGGGAUCGCAAGACCUCACGCUUUUGGAGCGGCCGAUGUCGGAUUAGCUAGUUGGUGAGGUAAAGGCUCACCAAGGCGACGAUCCGUAGCGGGUCUGAGAGGAUGAUCCGCCACACUGGGACUGAGACACGGCCCAGACUCCUACGGGAGGCAGCAGUGGGGAAUUUUGGACAAUGGGGGCAACCCUGAUCCAGCCAUGCCGCGUGAGUGAAGAAGGCCUUCGGGUUGUAAAGCUCUUUCGCGAGGGAAGAAAGCGCACUGGUUAAUACCUGGUGUGGAUGACGGUACCUUGAUAAGAAGCACCGGCUAACUACGUGCCAGCCGCCGCGGUAA
rnacentral:rRNA from 1 species